ensembl:lncRNA
UUUUUUUCUUUUUUUUUUUUUUUUGGCAGAACUCUCACUGCCUUCCUCUAAUGCAUAAAUCUUUUUGGCCCAUUCUGGAGCAGACUCCACAGUGAAGCAGCCUCAUCCCAUCAAUCCUCUGCAGGGUGACUGGGGUUUCCCUUUCCACAUGACUGUGCCCUCUGACUUCUUUUCCCAGUCCUCUGAUGAGUUGGAGGAGCAAAUCAUGAACCCAGGCUGGAUUGGGCAGGGACCAGGCCAUGAAGGGCUGGUAAUGGAGUGAAGCAUUUAUGCUUGAAGCCAGCUGGAGCCACCAAAGAAUUUUGAACAAGGGAGUGAUAUGAUUAGAUGUGUAUUUUAUUACAAUCCUUCUUAGAACACAGUAGAGAAUGGACAGGAGAAUAUGAGACUAGCAGCAGGGAGACUAAUAAGGGGCCAAAUGCCAUGCUUUUCCACUUGCAUAUUUUCUGCAAACAUGGCCAAUCAUGAUCACUCUUUUUGCUUAUGACAUAAUUUAGAAGGUGAUUCAACAUGACUUGGGUGAGUCGGUCCUUUCUGUCUAUGGAAGGCUGUAGUGGGUUGAAUUACAUCCCCCUCAGAGGUAUACUGAAAUCCUAACCCCUGGUACCUGUGCCUGUGACCAUAGUUGAAAAUAAGGUAUUUGCAGAUGUAUUGAAAUUAAGGUCAUGAUGGAUUAGGGUGGGCCCUAAAUCCAGUGACUGGUGUCCUUUUAAGGACAGGGGAGGUUUGAAGACACACAAUGAAGAAGGCUGUGUGAGGAGAGAAGCGGACAUUGUAAAGAUGCAGCUAUAAGUCAAAGAAUUCCAAGGAUUGCUGGCAACCAAUAAAAGCCAGGAAAGAUGAGGAAGGAUUCUUUCUGGAGUCUCAGAGGCAACGUGGCCCUGCUGAUACUUUGAUUUCCAGAAUGAUGAGAACAUUACUGUUUUUUUUAAGUCACCAAGUUUGUAGUGAUUUAUUACAGCAUCCCUAGGAAAUGAACACAGGGCCAAAUAAUUACAGAACAUUAGAACCAUCUCCAUCAUCAAAUGAGAAAGCUGAGGCCCAGAGAUGUGACACGGAUUCCCAAAGUACCCAGAGGAUUCAUGGCAAGUCCCGUAGAUAAGGAAGGUAUACUUGGGGAAACAGGGACCAUUUACUCUGGUUGUAGUUUCUGACACUUCCUUGUUGCCUGCAUUUGACUUCAGACCCUCAGUUCUUUGCCUAACCAGACCCUUCUUCUCAUCCCCUACCCAAGCCGCCCUCAGUCCCCUCUCCCUGAUCAUCCAGUUUGCAAACUGUCUGCCCACCCAGGACCCAGCUAGAGUCAGCUCUGGGGAUCUGACUCAACACCUGCCUGAGCCUGAGCCUGACCCAUCCCUGCUGCCAAGUACAGCCACUGGACUCUCCAAGUCAUCUCAUGAGCUGACCCUGGGGGAUCUCUGCAGCUCCUAGACCCAAACAUUUAUUACACUAGAGGCAAGUCCACAUCAUUUUCAUGAAUCUCUUCCCACUAGACUAUAAGCUCCUUGAGGAAAGAGACCACUUACUUUUACAAAUCUUUCUUUUUUAUACCCAGCACAAUACCUGAUCCAUGGUGAGCUCUCAAGAAUACUGAAUGACGUUAUCGAUUGAGUCAUUUCUUUGCAAGCUGUGUAACAUGCCUCAGCCCUAUGGAGAGAGACUGGAAGGGCCCCAGGGUCAGUUCACAUGGGAAGUUCCCACCCAUGAAAGACAAUAUGUGCAAAGAGAUCAGGCAGAGUUACCAGCAGUUAACAAGUAUUCCACAAAAAGAGAAUAUUGCAUGUGCAAAUAAGUUUUGGGAGGGCUAUGUCAU